rnacentral:lncRNA from 1 species
UCCAAUUCAAAAUGUUACCGUCUUAAAUUUAAACAGAACUACGAGUAAACACUACUAAAGUUACAUUACUUUUGCUAUGUUUAUGAGAACGGAGAAGCAGGAACAUAUCAAAAACAAUACAAGCCAGCAAAGGUUUUUGAGCAAUUUUUUCUUCACUUGUUAUUACUGGGAAGAUUAUACACAAACCGACGAUGCAUUCCCAGCAUAUCAGUAGCCAAAUUGG